CGAAACAGGAUAAAAGCAGCCUGACCCAAGCGGUCUCUGAAACGAUAAGAGAAAAAAAAACAAUCAGAGAAAUCGAACAUCGCCGAGAUCUGCAGCAUCCCUGAAACGCUAACGUAUAAAAUACAACGAUCGACCACAGUGUACGGUGGUAGGAUAAUUGUUUGUAAUUGUUAUCAACUAGUUGAGCGGGUUAUUAGGCCAAUUUAAUAGCAGCAAUCAACCAAUUUUUUAUUUUUUUGUUUUGUCUAUUUUUUUUUUCUUUCUCAGACAAUGAGUCGUAGGUCUGACGUGUAACUUGACGAAUAAAGAACUGCCUACGCAAGUCUCUUCGGAGGGACCCAGAAUUUUCUCGAAUUUUACUCAUUACUCAAUACACCGUCCUCGAAAGAAAUAGAUCGUCGAGAAUAUUCUUUUCGAUAUCUAGUCAUACCUGUGGGUACGGCUAUGAGCAGCAGGCUGGCGAGUCCGGCAACUACGUUGCUCACGAUGAGGGUAGUUUUGCGGCCCAACGCGCUCAUCGCCCACAGAGAAACUACGUUUCCGGGGAUCUGCGUACCUCCCGAUACAGCGACGUUGACGAAUAUGUUACCGCCGACCUGCCCCAGGUACUGAGACAUACCGAAAAGUCCCAUCCCGCAAAUCAUCCAAUUGAAAAAUUACGCUGUUUACCGAUACAAACGGCAAAUCCGAUUCAACGAUCGAAUACUCAAUCAAAAGGAUGGUCAAGGGUAAAACGCGCAGCUGUUAUUGUUCAAACUCUGAUCGUGUGUAAUAGAUAUGUUUGUCACUCGCGAAUCAACCGAGAAGUUUGAAGAACGUUUUUUCUUCAUUUGUUCAUUUUUUUUUUUUUUUCUCCGCUCACAAACUUCGUUGUGCAACGUCGCG
rnacentral:misc_RNA from 1 species